UACGAAGGGGGCUAGCGUUGUUCGGAAUUACUGGGCGUAAAGCGUAUGUAGGCGGAUCUUUAAGUCAGGGGUGAAAUCCCGAGGCUCAACCUCGGAACUGCCUUUGAUACUGGGGAUCUUGAGUCCGGGAGAGGUUAGUGGAACUGCGAGUGUAGAGGUGAAAUUCGUAGAUAUUCGCAAGAACACCAGUGGCGAAGGCGGCUAACUGGCCCGGUACUGACGCUGAAAUACGAAAGCGUGGGGAGCAAACAGG
rnacentral:rRNA from 1 species